rnacentral:rRNA from 1 species
AUGCAAAACCCCAAGCUUGGGGAUGCUUGCUUUGCUAUGUCCACUACUUAUCGCAAUGAUCAUGAUUGGGGUGAUAAUGAUUCUUAUGAUCUUGAAAUUUUAUUUAAACUUCAUCAUGAAUAUGCUUGCGAUAAUAUUAAAAGUGGGUUUGGAAGAGUGUCAACUUUAGCUAAAAAUAAUCCCACAUAUUUGGAGAGUGUUCAAUCUUAUGAAAUUUUUGAUAAAAGUGGGUUUGGAGAGGUUAUGACUUUAGUUGAUGUUAAUCCCACUAUCUUGGAAGAUUAUAAAACUUUUAUGCAUGUGGAUCAUGAAGAGAAAAUUUUGUAUGAUAGCUAUAUUGUUGAAUUUGAUUAUGAUCCUACAUGUAACUAUUAUGAGAGAGGAAAAUAUGGUUGUAGAAAUUUUCAUGUUGCUAAUUUACCUCUCAUUAUGUUGAGAUUGCUAUUGUUUCUUUCUUCUUCCUUGCAUAUGCUAUAUAUUUCUUGUCUUGAUAAUUUGUUUGCCUACAAAAUGCCUAUGCAUAGGAAGUAUGUUAGACUUAAGUGUGUUUGCCACAGGUUUUAUGGUGCUCUCUUUGUGCUUCAAUUAUUGUCUUUCAUGUGA